rnacentral:rRNA from 1 species
GAUGAACGCUGGCGGCGUGCCUAAUACAUGCAAGUCGAGCGAACAGACGAGGAGCUUGCUCCUCUGACGUUAGCGGCGGACGGGUGAGUAACACGUGGAUAACCUACCUAUAAGACUGGGAUAACUUCGGGAAACCGGAGCUAAUACCGGAUAAUAUAUUGAACCGCAUGGUUCAAUAGUGAAAGACGGCUUUGCUGUCACUUAUAGAUGGAUCCGCGCCGCAUUAGCUAGUUGGUAAGGUAACGGCUUACCAAGGCGACGAUGCGUAGCCGACCUGAGAGGGUGAUCGGCCACACUGGAGCUGAGACACGGUCCAGACUCCUACGGGAGGCAGCAGUAGGGAAUCUGCCGCAAUGGGCGAAAGCCUGACGGAGCAACGCCGCGUGAGUGAUGAAGGUCUUCGGGUCGUAAAACUCUGUUAUUAGGGAAGAACAAAUGUGUAAGUAACUAUGCACGUCUUGACGGUACCUAAUCAGAAAGCCACGGCUAACUACGUG